UACGUAGGGUGCGAGCGUUAAUCGGAAUUACUGGGCGUAAAGCGUGCGCAGGCGGUUUUGUAAGCCAGAUGUGAAAUCCCCGGGCUCAACCUGGGAACUGCAUCUGUGACUGCAUCGCUGGAGUACGGUAGAGGGGGAUGGAAUUCCGCGUGUAGCAGUGAAAUGCGUAGAUAUGCGGAGGAACACCGAUGGCGAAGGCAAUCCCCUGGACCUGUACUGACGCUCAUGCACGAAAGCGUGGGGAGCAAACAGG
rnacentral:rRNA from 1 species